GACGAACGCUGGCGGCGUGCUUAACACAUGCAAGUCGAACGGAAAGGCCCUGCUUCUGUGGGGUGCUCGAGUGGCGAACGGGUGAGUAACACGUGAGUAACCUGCCCUUGACUUUGGGAUAACUUCAGGAAACUGGGGCUAAUACCGGAUAGGAGCUCCUGCUGCAUGGUGGGGGUUGGAAAGUUUCGGCGGUUGGGGAUGGACUCGCGGCUUAUCAGCUUGUUGGUGGGGUAGUGGCUUACGAAGGCUUUGACGGGUAGCCGGCCUGCGAGGGGGACCGGCGACAUUGGGACUACGAUAACGCCCAGCCUCAUACGGGAGGCAUCAGUGGGGAAUAGUACACAAUGGGCGGAAGCCUGAUGCAGCAACGCCGCGUGCGGGAUGACGGCCUUCGGGUUGUAAACCGCUUUCGCCUGUGACGAAGCGUGAGUGACGGUAAUGGGUAAAGAAGCACCGGCUAACUACGUG
rnacentral:rRNA from 1 species